GGUAUAAACUCAGUAUCGUAAACGAGAAAGACGUUGAGAGUCUACGGCAGAAAUUUUUUUCAUCGGUUUCAAGUCAUCCUCAAAACAAACAUCAAGAAGAAUGACGAAGCAAUUAUACCUAAGACCGAGAAAGUAUCCUCUAGUACAUCCGUAUGCAAUGUGCAUUUCAGCAUUGUUUCCACAUCUCACAUGUCAGACGGAAAUCACACCUUUACCUUAGUCAACUAUCGCGCGCCCAUUACAAUGGUUUUAUAUUACGCGUCGAGCUGCUUGAGCUAGCGUUGGGCUGGCAUCAUUUUAAGUAGUACAAACCACUAGCAGCAUUUUCGAAGAGCAGGAAUACGUAUUUGUGAAAGGACUGAUGAAGUAGAAAAGUUUAAACGUAAAAAAACGACGAGGUUCUCAUCUGAUAACGGGUCUUAACCAGCAUUUACGCAACCCUCAUGGGGCGUGGUGCUGAAAUAAUUCGUCGUUCUAAAUAAAAAUAAUCUAUGAAGACGUUAUGCCUUUUUUUCAGAGUACAGAAAUCUAGUCUCAUGAAGUAUUUGCGAUUUGUGAAUACUGCUGAAAACAACGCAAUGUUAAUAAUUAAUCAGUUCACGAUUUGUUUGUAAAAUAACUUCUCACUAACAUUGUUUGAUGAUGCUACAAACCAUAAUUUUAAUAGUUUGCAAUAUGACCACCA